UACGUAGGGGGCAAGCGUUGUCCGGAAUCAUUGGGCGUAAAGAGCGUGUAGGCGGCUCGAUAAGUCUGCUGUGAAAGUCCAGGGCUCAACCCUGGAAGGCCGGUGGAAACUGUCGGGCUAGAGUCCGGAAGAGGCGAGUGGAAUUCCUGGUGUAGCGGUGGAAUGCGCAGAUAUCAGGAGGAACACCAACGGCGAAGGCAGCUCGCUGGGACGGUACUGACGCUGAGGCGCGAAAGCGUGGGGAGCGAACAGG
rnacentral:rRNA from 1 species